GUAAGUUAUUUUAAACCUCUAAGGUUGUGGCAAUUUGCUAUGCAGCAAUAGGUAAAUACGCUGGCCAUCAGAGUCGAAAGCCCCAGCCUUAGGCUUUCGGUUCCUCAGAGCGUGUUAGACUAAAGUCUACCAUCUUCCCCAAACUGUGAAGAUCUACAUUAAGCUCCCCACAUGGUCCCAUUCUAGCCUCUGUCUCUGAGCUUAGAGACGAGGGGAAAGAUCUUCCUUCCUUCUCCGACAGAGGGAGGAAGGAGAAAACCCCACAGAACGUCAACAGUUUUCUUCCAAUGGAAUUCUCCAAUAAAGCUCUCAAGGAAUAUUCUGUUUCUAGCAAAAUUCUCUGGGUUCCAACUUAGUCUUUAAACUUCUUUUAUAGGCUAGUUGAGAGAACCGUUUUUGGCUAACUCUCUUGUAAUUUCUGCUUGGGUGAAUGGCAUUUCAUUUUGUAAACUGAAAGCAAUUGUCAACUCCAUGGCAAAUCAAGAACAGGGGCAGUCCCUCCAGGUGCAGGCAAUAGGGGAAGCAUUGUCUGUAGAAACUUUUAAAACAAUAGCAGAACUGCCAUCUGCCUUUUAUCAUCCACGUGUAAGCAAUUCUAAAUAUACUGAUAAUAAAAUACUCCUUCCCCGAAAAAAAAAUCUUCUGUUGGUCUAGAUUCUAAUCUAAAAAUGACCUGUUCCUUGCCUGUUCCUGUUCCCUCCCACCGCCCUACCCUUGCAAUGACACUGUGUUAUCUAUUGUCUCUUGGCCUCAGAUGGAACUGAGCAGUCUCCUGCCCACGUAAGUCCUGUUAUGUCCAGAUGGACACUUUAACUUCAGAUUUUACAAUGCCUUCUGAGGCUUAAUUAGAAAAAGCUGCCCUUCCUGAGGAUCCUUUGCUGUCAUCUGCUGGACGAUUGUAAAAAGUGCAGAAAUUCAUGAUGGUUGCAAAAGUGAAUGUCGUCUCUUAGAUCUGUGCUGUGUUCCCCCUGCAUGCUCAUAUGUGGUGGUAUUGUGUAUGCGUUGAAAGUGCACCCGUCAGAAGGAAGGUGGAACAUUUAGCAUUAUCUAAGGGUGAGGAAGAUUGGUGCUGAGCCAACAUCUACUGCCAAUCUUACUCUUUUUGCUUGAGGAAGAUUGUCAUGAGCCAAUAUCCAUGCCAAUCUUCCUCUAUGUUGCAUGUGGGACACUUGCCAUAGCAUAGCUUAAUGAGAAGAGUGUCUGUCCACGCCCAGAUCCGAACCCGCAAACCCUGGGCUACUGAAGCGAAGCACACAAAUUUAACCACUACGCCACUAGACCAGCCCCAAAGGGGUUUAACUUUUUAAAUUUUUCCUUGGGAAUUUGAUAGUGAAAGAAGGUUUACAUCAAACACUGCAGCAUAAUUCUACUGUUGAUAAUGUAGAAUUAAAAAAUUUUCUCUCAUCAUUUGAAUUUAUUAUGUACCAUUUUGGGAGCUAUAUUGGACAACAUGGCCUAACAUAAUAAAAAAUGAGAAGCCAAAGAGAAAUUGAAAAAUUUUAAAUGAAUUUUUAUAUUAAAACCACUUUUUAAUUCCUUAUUGGAAGAUCUGAGAAUUUCCCUAUGGAUUAAGCAAUUGCAGGCUUGCCAUCCAGGCCUUCAAAUUUGUACCAAAUGGUAAGGGAGCUCCUAGAAGCUGCAUUUUCUCCAGUUCUCAUCCUCACUGUGGCUUUGGAAGACAACGGACCAAGGAAAUCUUCCUGGAGAAUAGAACUGCGAAUAAAUGAACUGUCUGACCAAGGAGCACGUGUCACCGUUUGGACCAAGCUCCCGUGAUAUUCUUAUGCGGUGUUCAUUGGAGGAGAGUUUGACUUGACUUCCUUUUGGGAAAAGCUGAGUGCACAUCAUGGAGCUGUGAUCCUUGGUGGAAGUGUGUAUCAGAAGAAAAAUGUACUUGCAUGAGGAAUAGCCAGAGGAGUGAACUGCACCACAAACUUGUUGUUUCUGCGUUCCUCUCCCAACAAUCUAUGACUUCUGUUUGGGUAUCCCGGUAGUUCUGAGGAACAGACUCCACCCCCUUCUCCAGCUCCGGUUCUGGGCUGUCAUCCCCCACUCCCACGGCAGUGAUCCAUUCAGUGCGGACACGUGACCUAACGUGGUUCAGUCAGAUUGAUUCUCAGUAGUUCUGAAACUUCAGACAAAAACACUGUUCUUCCCAACUAUGGGGUAGUAUGUGGAUGCAAGCCCUGUUCUCGAUGUAGACAUUUUUGUUAACAGCAGGGAAUCAGCCUGAGGAUGAAGCCAAAACGCCACAGACAGCAGAGCCAAGAAUUUGGGCUGCAGGCUCCGUGACAUCAUAAACUGCUGCUCUAAUCUUGUCUGAACUUUGCCCUGACUCUGUCCUUUUUGGAUACGUAAGCCUAUAAAUUUUGUUUAGUUUUAAGGAAGGUGGUUAAGUUUUAAUUGUAUUAAUUGAAAAGCUCAUGACACAUUAUCAUUGUAUGCAUCAUGUUUUCUUAUGCAAAUAUAUGCAUAGAAUGAAUUCCUGGCAGUAGAAUUUCCAAGCAUAAAUUGCCCAAUUAAAACAGACACACACAAAAAUAAGGUUAGAAACUGACAUGAAAUAGUGUAUAUUAGGUGGAAACAUGUCUCUUAUGUCAAUAUUUGUAAAUGUAAAAAACACAUUAAUAGGAAGAUUCUUAGAUUAAGUCACAAAACAAAACCCAGUAACAUUUUAUAUAUGACACAGUUAAGCCAAAUGAUUGUGUGAAAAAUAUGUGUUCUUGGUGAGAGUGACUACUAGCUUAGUUAUGAUUGGUAGUUUAAUUGGAGGUACAACUAGCCUUGCUGCUUAGAUACUAAAUCUCAAAAAGGAGCCCUUCAAAUAUUACUUGAAUACAUCUAGGCCUUCUUGUUCUCCUUGGUGGAGCAAAGAAUGCAUAUAACAGUCUCACCAUCUGAGCAUUGAGAACAAUGCAAAUCUUUAAGUCUCUUAAAAUGUCAGCAAAAUGGUGGGGGAGGGAGGGCAUGAUUUCAUCAGAGCACACGGAAUGAAACUUUCUCAAGGCAGUUUCUUACCAGAAUCUUAUUUACCCAUGGCAGCCCUUUCUCCACUGUUUCUUCCCUCUUCUUCACACUGUCUAGCCUCCUCUAGCAACUUUUCUGUUUUCUUGGAAAAAUUUCAUGAACUUUUUUGUUUUUUGUUUUUUUUGGUGAAGAAGAUUGGCCCUGAGCUAAUGCCUGUUGCCAAUUUUCCUCUUUUUUACUUGAGGAAGAUUGGCCCUGAGGUAACAUCUGUGCCAGCCUUCCUCUAUUUUGUAUGUGGGUUGCCACCCCAACAUGGCUUGAUGAGUGGUGUAGGGCCGUGCCUGAGAUCCGAACCCAUGAAUCCAGGCUGCCAAAGCAGAGUAUGCCAAACUUAACCACUAUACCACCAGCCCAGCUCCACUUUUUUUUUUAAUAGAAAGAGAAAUAAAUUUUCCUAUUUAUAAAAUAUAAGAAGGAAAAGGGCCCUGGGUAUAAAAUCUAAAUGUCUAGGAUGUGAAUGGUCGGGAACACAUAAUAUGACUCUGCUUCCGUCAGUCAUGAGUGUGAGGUGCAAGGAAAAUAGGGCCUGAGAGCUCUUUCUGUACCAGACAGAAAACCUCACAAGAGUAAGAGCCACAGAGCCUCUGUGAAGAAGAUGGAUCAGAGAGAAGUGAAUGGUGUAGAGCAGAAAUUUAACUCUCUCUCUCAAUUUCUUUUCUUCGUAAGCCUACCCCUAAGACUCUGGCCUAGUUGGUGGUCCUCCCAAAAGGAUUAGCUCAUAGUAGAAAUGUGUGCACGUGGGACGGGAGAUAGAGGGAGGGACUCCAGCAGAGGAAAUGUUUACGAAUGCACACACUCUAAGAUCACCUGUCUGCCACAGAGCCAUAGGUUUCCUCUCAUAGUUGUUAACCAAUGUGUAAGUACAAUUUUGUAUGCUAGUUUUUCCCUUAAAGUGAUGGCAUAAAGAUUUUACCAUGGCUGUAUCAACUCUUCAUCAAUACUGUCUCUAACUUUAAUAUCAGUGCAAUAUUUCUUUGGGUCUAGAAUAUCUUAAUCUAAUUAGAUAGUCUUCAUUUUUGUGCAUUUGUAUCAAACUUUCUUUAUGUGAUAAAUAAUGUGCUCCCCCCUUUGCAUUGAGAAACACAAAAAUGACUUGUUUACUGUCACAGAGACCUUUGUUUCUCCAAUUCAGAUAGGUAAAUUGUCUAAAUUCUGUACUCUGGGCCCUAGAAAUGAAGGAUAGAAAAUGAGGAGAGGAAAAGAAACCAAGCCGUUCUUGAGGAAAGAAAUGGGAAAAGGAGUUAUAAGGAGGCGAUAAAAUUGUUUCUUCUCCAGGACAAACAAGUGAAAAAAUUGGGCUCCCCUCCCACCAGGAAUUCUGGCUCCCACUUAUGGAUCCUGAGACUGGCAGAUUUUUCCAGGCUGUGGAAAACUGAUACUCAGCUGAGGAAUCACAUCACAGGCUGUAACACUUAAUGUUAUUAUUUUUCACUUGAUUGUGCAAAAGAAGUGUGUUAAUAUGACUUCUAGGACUGAUACCAAGUAAGUACACUGCCUACAAUUGCUGCUUUGUCUUAUUUUGCUCUUGUUCCAAAUUCAAAUGAUUUUAUCCAUCACUUCAUUCAUCGCUUAAGGAGAUGAC
rnacentral:lncRNA from 1 species